CGUUGCAUACCUGUAGAUUUAUUUGUGUUCAAAAUACUUGUAAAAGCUUACAAAUUUCAAAGAUUUUAAUUUAAGAAUAUAUUCUAGAAAAUAGUGCGGCAAAGCCAAGCAUAAUAGUCCAAUGCAUCAAAGCCAUGCAUAAUAUAAUGCGGCAAGUAUUUUUUUUUACUUUUUUUAGGAAAGUAUUUUCUUUUACUCAAGACAGGAACGUUGGUCGUCGCCUUCUGAACUGGGCUCUCUUUUUGGAAUUAUACAUCUGGGAAUAUAUGUGCUGAUGUGCCGACAGUCUACCGGUCCUCAAGAAAGGAUUCCACAAGAUAGCCACGGAUUCUAUAUAUUUUUCUACAACCAAGUCGGUUUCAUCGUGGAUAAUCAUGAUUUCAUUUGAUGAUGAGGUCCUCCUUGCAUAUUUUUUGAAUAAAUCCUGCUGAAAACAUAGAUUCACCAAAACAUGUGAAAUUUAUUAAUUUAAACCCUAAACUUAUGUUGGUGAUCAUUUUUAUGCAUUUAUACAUGUUAUAUAUCACAACAGAAAACACUAGAUUUGCCUAGAGCUUUGAGGUUUGCCGAGAGCUCUAUAUCGGGCUCUCGGCAAACACGAAAUUCAUCCGCAGUCACUCUCGGCGAAGAAUUACUCUCGG
rnacentral:lncRNA from 1 species